UACGAGGGGAGCUAGCGUUGUUCGGAAUUACUGGGCGUAAAGCGUGCGUAGGCGGUUACUCAAGUCAGAGGUGAAAGCCCGGGGCUCAACCCCGGAACGGCCUUUGAAACUAGGUAACUAGAAUCUUGGAGAGGUUAGUGGAAUUCCGAGUGUAGAGGUGAAAUUCGUAGAUAUUCGGAAGAACACCAGUGGCGAAGGCGACUAACUGGACAAGCAUUGACGCUGAGGCACGAAAGCGUGGGGAGCAAACAGG
rnacentral:rRNA from 1 species